CUAACCUUGAUCACAUGAAGAUCACCAGUGUUCAGGAGACCUGAGGAAGAAUUCAGUUCACAGCUGCUGUUCCAGAAUACUAGGUGGUGGAGGGAAUACAAGACCCUCUCUGCACUAAUUUUUCAACUUCCCAUGAUUCUACAAUUACUUCAAAAC
rnacentral:lncRNA from 1 species